UUUAUAAAGAUUAAUCUUUUUUUAGAAA
rnacentral:tRNA from 14 species